GCCAUCCGCGCGGCGCUAGCUGAAGUCAGAUCGCAAGCCGUCCCGGGAUCGGCGCUCAUCACUCAAGCCGAAGGCCGAUUCUUCUCCAACGGCUUCGACCUCCGCCACGCGCAGGCCGUCGGCGCGGCCGCCGGCUCUGCCGAUGCUGCGGGGGCAGAGCUCCUCAACAUGGUAGAUCUGUUUCGAGGCGUCGUCGCCGACCUCCUCUCCCUCCCUAUGCCGACGGUCGCGGCUGUCACGGGGCACGCGGCGGCGGCAGGGCUGAUCCUCGCAAUGAGUCACGACUACGUCGUGAUGAAGA
rnacentral:lncRNA from 1 species